GUAUGGCUCACUGGUAGAGCACCUGCCUAGCAAGCAUGGAGCUCUGAGAUCAAAUCUCAGUAC
rnacentral:tRNA from 1 species